GGCGAAGCCUGAUCCAGCCAUGCCGCGUGUGUGAAGAAGGUCUUCGGAUUGUAAAGCACUUUAAGUUGGGAGGAAGGGCAGUUACCUAAUACGUGAUUGUUUUGACGUUACCGACAGAAUAAGCACCGGCUAACUCUGUG
rnacentral:rRNA from 1 species